ensembl:lncRNA
GGAUAAAGUAGGCUAAACUUAAGCAGGUUCCCCACGUUAAACUGCUAUAUGCAUUAUGCUACAUGUCAUUGUAAAAUUGUAAUAGGCUUCUUUUCUUAAAUGCAUAUGACUCGGGAUGUCAGUUUGACGUAAGCCAGUAUGGCUAUGAUUAAACUAAUCAAGAGCAUAUUUUUAAAUGAGCGGGUCGGGUGCAUUAUUUUUAUAUAAGGCCUAAUAUUUGAGGUCCGAGUUGCGGUCAUUUAUGUACACGCGCACGAAUACUAUAGAGAGAUCGGUUCCGUGAUUUAGAAAAGUACAAGACACGCCUCCUACUACAAGUUACGCCUACUACAAGUCACGCCUCCAUCUUGCAGGAAGCAGACGGAUACUAUUGGAGUGGUUGCGUAAAUAGCACACCUGUUUUUGAAGUGGAUGAUUAUGUUGCAAAGGCGUUGAUUGGCUACAGGGCCAUAAUAUAAAGAGAUAGCAGAGGAUCAGUGCAACAGUGUUUUAGGUCUGGUUUGGCCUCAACCAAUCUGUCUGGGAAAUACUUUGAAUAUAGUUUGCCAUGGCUGUUGGGUGCAUUCUCAGAGUGUCUUGGUUUUGUUUGUUGCUGUUUGGUGGCAGUCUUCCUUUUCCAUCAAUGAAGGGUGACAGAUAUACCUCCAAGACUGACCAUCCUGAAAUUGGGGGUGAUAAAGAUGACAAGCUACAAACUUCUCAUACUCUGAGGUUUGAGGCAUAUAGCCUAGCAAAAGGAUAUUCAGACCGAAGCAAAAAAGUCCCACUAGCUGCAGCUCCAAAGCAGGCACUGUUGAACCCCGAGGAAGGGGCGAGGAUCCAGGGAGGCAGAGCUGUGGAGUUUGGACAGAAAAAUGCUGAGAUUGAAGACCAGAAACUUCCUCUAAACCCUGCCAACCAGCAUGAUUACUCUUUUGAGGAGCAGAGGGGCAGCGCAAAGCCUCAGUUCCCUAAGCCUUCUACCAAACCAUCUUCAGAACUGGCAGGCUCUGACCUUAUCCCUCCUACUCCAUAUCUGUUGAUGGACGAUGGUGCAUUCAGUAGUGGUCCUACUUUGGAGUCUAAACAAGUGUCUAAAAGUGGCGGGUACUUUAAUCCUACCCAGAACCUCAACUUCCAGGCUGGUGAACAAGAGGGCUCACACUUCUAUGCGGACCAGCCAAGAAGUCGGUCCUCUGCUUCCUACAUGACCGGAGGAGGGGAGCCAGUAUUCUCCAUUAAUUCAGGUAACAUAGCGCCGACCAUUAGCGCACAGACUCUGCAGGCUGACGUAGUAUCUAGAACUGACACUAAAGGGGGUUACUCCAGCUCUGCGCUGUACCUCGAUGUCCAGGCUGGUUCACAAAGCUAUUCCCCUAACCUGGUCUAUGAGGAUGUUUUUCAUUACCCUGCUGCUGAAACUGCACAGCUUCCUUCAGAAGAGAGUGACCUCUCUGACUACAACUCGGUGAAUGUGGUCCAGCCAAGCACUUGGUCUUCUGCUCCUUACAUGACUAGAGAGGAGCCGGUAUUAAGUAACUGGGCCCACGCCGCUCCGAACAUUAGCGCACAGAUCCUGGAGGCUGAAGUAGUACCUAGAAUUGACACUAAAGGGGGUUACUCUAGCUCUUCACUGCACCUUGACCUCCCAGCUGGUGUACAAGAAGGUUCACAAAGCUAUUCCACUAACCUUGUCUAUGAGGACUUUUCUCAAUACCCAGCUGCUGAAACUGCACAGCUUCCUUCAUCAGAUGAUGACCCCUACACCUAUGACUCUGUGAAUGCGGAACAGCCAAGCAGUUGGUCCUCUGAUCGUUACAUUACCAGAGAAGAGACGGUAUUCUCCAGUAAUGCAGGUGACUGGGCCCAGGCCGCUCUGAACAUUGGCGCACAGAUCCUGGAGGCUGAAGCAGUACCUAGUAUUGACACUAAAGGGGGUUACUCUAGCUCUUCACUGCACCUUGACCUCCCAGCUGGUGUACAAGAAGGUUCACAAAGCUAUUCCCCUAACCUUGUCGAUGAGGCUGUUUAUCAAUACCCUGCUGCUGAAGCUGCACAUCUUCCUUCAGAAGAGAGUGACCUCUCCGACUACAACUCUGUGAAUGUGGUCCAGCCAAGCACUUUGUCUUCUGCUCCCUACAUGACUAGAGAAGAGGAGCCGGUUUACGUCAGUAAUUCAGGUGACUGGGCCCAGGCUGCGCAGACCAUUAGCGAACAGCCUCUGGAGGCUGAAGCAGUACCUAGUACUGACACUAAAGGGGGUUACUCUAGCUCUUCACUGCACCUUGACCUCCCAGCUGAUGUACAAGAAGGUUCACAAAGCUAUUCCCCUAACCUUGUUGAUGAGGCUGUUUAUCAAUACCCUGCUGCUGAAACUGCACAGCUUUAUUCAGAGGGGGUUGACGCCUCCAAGUAUGACUCUAUGAACGCAGUCCAGCCAAGCACUUGGUCCUCGGCUUCCUACAUGACCAGAGAAGAGGAGCCGGUAUUCUCCAGUCAUACAGGUCACUGGGCCCAUGUUGCUCCUGUGGAAACCCCUGCCUAUCCAAGCGAUGUGGCUGAUUUCGUCUUGGACUCGACUUCAAGUAAAGCCGCUGCACAACCAGUCCUCUUCAAGCCACUGAAGAAGGCUCCUCAGCUGCCCAGCUCCAAGUGGCUUCAGAGGCCAAAGAAGGUGAGGGACCAGACUGCAUCUACCUACAUUGUCCAAUCCAAGGGCUCACACCGCCGAAGCCGCCAGAUGUUAUCCAAGAAGAAGUACUUCAGCGGUUUCCCUCCACUGCCCCCAUUCGUGCUUAUGGCUCUGAGACCGUAAGGGGAUCUUAAACAUACAGGAAGCGAGCAAGUGGCUAAAACAGAUGAAGGAACAGAACCUCUCCAAAGGUGCAGUCGAGGUGCCGCGCUUCCCUGGCAUGGAAGACAGCGAGGCUGCACAAUCCCUAGAGUAUUACAUAGAAAAUGGUGUCACCUUAAUUGCUAAAGAAAAGUAUGAAGUUAUGGAUCCUUUUCUAUUUAUGUUUGAGUAUUAUGGGGACAUGCAAUUGUUUUUUGGAAAACUUGAAAAUGAUACGACGAUUAAAGUCCAUUGGGGAUUGUUUUAACCGAAA